GGUGUAGGUGGAUUUUUAAGUCAGAAGUGAAAGCCCCGGGCUCAACCCGGGAAGGGCUUUUGAUACUAUUGAUCUUGAGUGUGGGAGAGGAUAGCAGAAUUUCUGGUGUAGUGGUGAAAUACGUAGAUAUCAGAAGGAAUAUCGGUGGGGAAGCCGGCUGUCUGGCCCAACACUGACACUCAGACCCGAAAGCGUGGGGAGCAAACAGGAUUAGAUACCCUGGUAGUCC
rnacentral:rRNA from 1 species